rnacentral:rRNA from 1 species
UGGGGAAUUUUGGACAAUUGGGCGCAAGCCUGAUCCAGCCAUGCCGCGUGCGGGAAGAAGGCCUUCGGGUUGUAAACCGCUUUUGUCAGGGAAGAAAUCUUCUGAGUUAAUACCUCGGGAGGAUGACGGUACCUGAAGAAUAAGCACCGGCUAACUACGUGCCAGCAGCCGCGGUAAUACGUAGGGUGCAAGCGUUAAUCGGAAUUACUGGGCGUAAAGCGUGCGCAGGCGGUUUUGUAAGACAGAGGUGAAAUCCCCGGGCUCAACCUGGGAACUGCCUUUGUGACUGCAAGGCUUGAGUGCGGCAGAGGGGGAUGGAAUUCCGCGUGUAGCAGUGAAAUGCGUAGAUAUGCGGAGGAACACCGAUGGCGAAGGCAAUCCCCUGGGCCUGCACUGACGCUCAUGCACGAAAGCGUGGGGAGCAAACAGGAUUAGAUACCCUGGUAGUCCACGCCCUAAACGAUGUCAACUGGUUGUUGGGAAGGUUCCUUCUCAGUAACGUAGCUAACGCGUGAAGUUGACCGCCUGGGGAGUACGGCCGCAAGGUUGAAACUUAAAUGAAUUGACGGGGUCAUAGCUGUUUCCUG